UACGUAGGGGGCAAGCGUUGUCCGGAGUUACUGGGCGUAAAGCGCACGCAGGCGGUCUCUUAAGUUUGGAGUGACAGUUGGUGGCUUAACUGCCAAAGUGCUUUGAAAACUGAGAGACUUGAGGGCUUCAGAGGGACACGGAAUUCCGGGUGGAGUGGUGAAAUGCGUAGAGAUCCGGAGGAACACCGAAGGCGAAGGCAGUGUCCUGGGGAGUACCUGACGCUCAGGUGCGAAAGCCAGGGGAGCGAACGGG
rnacentral:rRNA from 3 species